rnacentral:rRNA from 1 species
AACGAACGCUGGCGGCAUGCCUAACACAUGCAAGUCGAACGAGACCUUCGGGUCUAGUGGCGCACGGGUGCGUAACGCGUGGGAACCUGCCCUUAGGUUCGGAAUAACUCCCCGAAAGGGGUGCUAAUACCGGAUAAUGUCUUCGGACCAAAGAUUUAUCGCCUUUGGAUGGGCCCGCGUUGGAUUAGCUGGUUGGUAGGGUAAAAGCCUACCAAGGCGACGAUCCAUAGCUGGUCUGAGAGGAUGAUCAGCCACACUGGGACUGAGACACGGCCCAGACUCCUACGGGAGGCAGCAGUGGGGAAUAUUGGACAAUGGGCGAAAGCCUGACCCAGCAAUGCCGCGUGAGUGAUGAAGGCCUUAGGGUUGUAAAGCUCUUUUACCCGGGAUGAUAAUGACAGUACCGGGAGAAUAAGCUCCGGCUAACUCCGUG